AACGGGAGCAAUCCUUAGUAAAGUGGCGUACGGGUGAGUAACACGUAGGUAAUCUACCUUACAGUUUGGAAUAACCUGCCGAAAGGCGGGCUAAUACUGGAUAGAGCGACGGAAUCCGUAAUUGGGUUUUUCGGGAAAGGGAGCGAGAUAAUCGCCCUCGCUGUAAGAUGAGCCUGCGUCUGAUUAGCUAGUUGGUAAGGUAAUGGCUUACCAAGGCAUUGAUCAGUAGCUGGUCUGAGAGGAUGAUCAGCCACACUGGAACUGAAACACGGUCCAGACUCCUACGGGAGGCAGCAGUGGGGAAUCUUGCGCAAUGGACGAAAGUCUGACGCAGCAACGCCGCGUGAGUGAAGAAGGCCUUAGGGUUGUAAAGCUCUGUCACCUGGGACGAAAAGCAUUAUCGUUAAUAGCGGUAGUGCCUGACGGUACCAGGGGAGGAAGCACCGGCUAACUCUGUGCCAGCAGCCGCGGUAAUACAGAGGGUGCAAGCGUUGCUCGGAAUUAUUGGGCGUAAAGGGCAGGUAGGUGGUCUUAUUUGUCUAGGGUGAAAUCCCGGAGCUUAACUUCGGAAGUGCCUUAGAAACGGUAAGACUAGAGUCCUAGAGAGGUUUGUGGAAUUCCCGGUGUAGCGGUGAAAUGCGUAGAGAUCGGGAGGAAUACCAGCAGCGAAGGCGGCAAACUGGAUAGGCACUGACACUCAACUGCGAAAGCGUGGGGAGCAAACAGGAUUAGAUACCCUGGUAGUCCACGCUGUAAACGAUGGGUACUAGGCUUUAUGGGAAUUGACCCCUGUGGAGCCGGAGCUAACGCAAUAAGUACCCCGCCUGGGAAGUACGGUCGCAAGACUAAAACUC
rnacentral:rRNA from 1 species